rnacentral:rRNA from 1 species
GUAAAAGUCGUAACAAGGUUUCCGUAGGUGAACCUGCGGAAGGAUCAUUAUUGAAUAAACUUGAACAGGCUGUUGCUGGUCUCUCUCUCACUGAGGGCAUGUGCACGCUUGUCAUCUUUAUUUUUCCAACUGUGCACAUAUUGUAGACCUGGAGUCGUAUCUUGUUGAUUCAUUUCGAGUUGGCACUGCAGUGCUUUUGUAACAAAAAGUCUGCUUUGCCUUUUGGCUUUUCAGGUCUAUGUCAUUUUUUACAACCUCACAUGUGUUUAGAAUGUUGAAUCAGGUCCUUUUUGGUACCUAUAAAAAAGUUAAAUAUACAACUUUCAGCAACGGAUCUCUUGGCUCUCGCAUCGAUGAAGAACGCAGCGAAAUGCGAUAAGUAAUGUGAAUUGCAGAAUUCAGUGAAUCAUCGAAUCUUUGAACGCAUCUUGCGCUCCUUGGUAUUCCGAGGAGCAUGCCUGUUUGAGUGUCAUUUCAAGUUCUCAAACCACAUCAAUGAUUUCUUGUUGGUGUGGCUUGGAUGUGGGGGAUUAUUCAUUUUGCAGGCUUCUGUCAAAGGAGGUCAGCUCCCCUGAAAUAGAUUAGUAGUAUCUGAGCUACUUACAGGUGUGAUAAUUAUCUAUGCCUUUCAGUAUGCUGCAUAAACAGAUGGCACUGCUUCCAACAAGUGAAGGGUCUCGAGAAGGGAUUCCACAUUUGACAAAUUUGACCUCAAAUCAGGUAGGACUACCCGCUGAACUUAAGCAUAUCAAUAAGCGGAGGAAAAGAAACUAACAAGGAUUCCCCUAGUAACUGCGAGUGAAGCGGGAAAAGCUCAAAUUUGAAAUCUGGUGGUUCUUGAACUGUCCGAGUUGUAAUCUAGAGAAGUGUUACCUGUGCUGAACCGUGUACAAGUCUCCUGGAAUGGAGCAUCAUAGAGGGUGAGAAUCCCGUCUUUGACAUGGACUAUCUGUACAUUAUGGUGCGCUCUCAAAGAGUCGAGUUGUUUGGGAAUGCAGCUCAAAAUGGGUGGUAAAUGCCAUCUAAAGCUAAAUAUUGGCGAGAGACCGAUAGCGAACAAGUACCGUGAGGGAAAGAUGAAAAGAACUUUGGAAAGAGAGUUAAACAGUACGUGAAAU